CUUGUGAUCCCUCUCUCUCAAAAUAAAUAAACUUAAAAAAAAAAAAAAAGAAAUACAUUUCAUGAAGCUAUAGCUGCCAUACACACCGAUUGCUCUGAUGGAUCUGGGCAGAGUAAACUGAAAACAUCCUGGGAAGGAGUCACCAUCCUAGAUGCCAUGAAGAACAUUGGGGAUUCAUGGGAAGAGGUCACGAUUCAACACGAACAGGAGUUGGGAAGAAGCUGGUUCCAGCCCCAGGGAGGACUUUGAGGGGUUCAGGACUCCAGGGGAGGAAGUCGCUGCAGACGUGUGGAAACAGGAGAACCGGAAGCAGAAGGGGGGCCUGAAGACGGCAGGGAGCUGGGCCACCUGGGAUAAAACGGAUGAGGAUUUGCUUUCCAUGGAUGAACAAAGAAGUGGUUUCCUGAGAUGGACCGUGCUCCUGGCAAUGAUGCUGUGAAGACUGUUGAAAUGAUAACACAGCACUGAAAAUAUACUACAGGAACUUAGCUGACAGAGCAGCGGCAGGGUGAGAGAGGAGGGACUCCAGUUUUGAAAGAAGUUCUGUGCGUAAAAUGCUACCAAACUGCAUCACGUGCUACAGAGAAAUUGUUCAUGAAAGAAAGAGUCAGCUGAUUUGGAAAACUUCAUUAUCUUAUUUUAAAUCACAGCUGUCCCAACUUUCACAACCACCACCCUGAUCAGUUGAUUAGCCAUCAACAUUGAGGCAAGACCCUCCAACAAUUGAAAGAUUACAACUUGCUGAAAGUUCAGAUAAUGGUUGAUGGUUUUUAAUCAAUCAUUUUAAAAUUAAGGCAUAUACAUUUUUUAAAAAAGUUUACUUGAGAGAGAGAGCAGGGAAGGGGCAGAGAGAGAGAGAGAGAGAGAGACAGAGAGAAUCCUGAGCAGGCUCUGCGCCGUCAGCUCAGAGCCCAAUGCGGGGCUCUAUCCCCAUGAACCAUGAGAUUGUGAGCCGAAAUCAAAAGUUGGAUUAACCAACCAAGACACUCAGGCUCCCCUACAUUGCUUUUUAUAAAGACAUAAUGCCAUUGCACACUUAGUAGAUGAUAGUGUAAACAUAACUUUUAUAUGCACUGGAAACGACAAAAUUAUUAGCACCACACUCUAACCAACUGAGCUAACCCGCCACUUUGGAAACGACAAAAUUAGUUUGACUCGUUUGAUUGUGAUGUUUGCUUUAUGAUAGUGGCCUGGAACCAAACCUGCAACAUCUUCGAGGUGUGCUUGUACCUUAGAGAAAUGGGCUAAUCUGCACACCAGUGGUUGUGUACAAAAAUGCUCCAUCCAGCAGCCUUGUCAUAGCCAAAAAUCGAAAAGUACCAAAGUAACCAUCAAUGAUAUAAUGAACAUAAGUUAACCUAUUUAUAUAAGGAUGCACUAUCCAACAGUAUGAAAAAAUACACAAUACAGACUAAUUUCAUAUUACAAUGUUCAACAAUAUAACAAAAGGGCAAAAAGUCAUGUAAAGUUAACAAAAAGUAAGUUAUCGUUUAUUGAUGCAUACAUAGGCAAAACUACAACGGAAACACUGAUUAUCAUAAAAGUCAGCGGUAGAUAGGAAGGAUGAUUUUGAUUGGGAUGUUACUUAAGUGCUUGCAAUGUUCUACGUCUUGAUCAGUUAUUUCCUUUUUCUUUUCCUUUUUUCCUUGUCUCCUAUUUAUUUAUUAAAUGUUUAUUUCUGAGAGAGAGGCAGCGAGGGAGGGAGGGAAGGAGAGACAGGGCACUUAAUGGGCCUAGAUCAGGCAUCAAAGGAAAAAAAAAUCAUUCAAAAGGCAAGGAAAUCAAGGCUGAGGAAAAAGUAAAUUAUUACAAAAAGAAAAUACAGAAGAAACACCAAGCUACCUCCUAAGUGGCUUUUAGACAUGCAGCGGCCAUUCCUUCCUCGUCCAGGCGCCGCUCGGAGAAGAGGGCACAACUAGGGCCGCGGGAAGAUUCGUGAGUCCCGACCGCCCCAGGCGAAACCACAUUCACACCCGUCCACCCCCACCCCGGCGCCAGGCACCUACCCACACACGCGAGGGGGCUCUAGGACCCUGUGGCCGACUCCGCCCAGUGCAGGUGCGGGCCGAGUGAAGGGAGCCGGGGCCGCGGGCGCACGCUGCAGGCAAGCGCCCCUGACCACACAACACAGCCUGCCUGGCAGCACGGCGCCCGCCGAGCACACGAGCGCGCACCUGGGUCCCGCCGCCGCCGCCGCCCUGCCCGGGGUUCUGGAAGCCUCUGCUCUCGGCCUCCUCUGGGCGCAGGCAGGGACGACCCACACUGCUUGGGGCACCCGACGCCCAGAGGGGCCAGAUUCUGCCGCCAAACCCAGAAGAGGCUCCCAAAGCGCGCGGUAACGAGUUGCGCCGCACGGCAGGUGGGCAAAGUGGUGCAGCGCCGACUCAGCGGCUCAGGCCCGGAGGCUGCCACCUGCGGUUCCGCCAGCACCACGCCCACUCCGAGAUGCAGCAGCCACGCCUGGCCGUAGAGUCCCGGGCGCCCCUGGAAGAAGCCGGGUCCUUCCCGGCCGCCAGGCGCGGACCAGCUGGCCACACCGCCAGCACCUGGAGGAAGUCGCGCCGGGCCGUAAAAGCGGCGGUUCCCGCGAGAGAGACGCCUGGGUAACGACGCGCCGAGCCGUAAAAGCAGCGGUUCCCACGGGGACGCCUGGGUAACGACGCACAGCGCCGAAAAGCGGCCCGACUGAAGAGAGAAGCUUAGCUCAGGGGGCUGGAACUUGGAAAAUGUCGCGCGAAGUAAGAGCCGCUGGACCCGCGAGGUGGGUGGUCGUCCUACGGCUCAGUCUCUGGCCUGCGGUGGUCUCUUAGGAGUCCUGAGCGUUCUGGCCCCCAGUGGUCCGAGUUCGAACGGAAGCGCACCGGACUUGGGCUUUCUCGGUGUGGCCAAUACUGGGUGGAAGGAGGACGUGGGAUUUAGGUGGGGAAGGGGCGGUGUCUGCGGGCCCCGGAGAGGGGAACUAGCUGUGUUGUGAGCUUGGGCCCAUAGGAAUAAGCGUUUGGAGUGGGUUGGGGCUGAGGGAAGCUUCGGGUGUUUUAAAGUGAGUCCGUGUUGGGGUGCUGGGUGAGUAGGAAUCUCCGAGGAUACUGGACGGCGUGUUUGUGAGUAGGAGGGCCGUUGACCGCUGACGUUCCUCUUUGACCAGGCAAAAACAUCAGUGCAUUUCAGAUUUGGAGAGGCAAAAAUCAUUUAAAAUAGAUCAAAAUAGACGUUUAUUUUGAUAUGCACGCAAGGUCCGAAUUUGUUUUUGAACAAGAAAGAUUGAAAAAAAAUUUUUUUUAAAUAUCUUUCAUUGAUUUUUGAGAGAGAGCGAGCUAGCGGAGCCAGCAUUAGCAGGGGAGGGGCAGAGAGAGAAGGAGACACAGAAUCUGAAGCAGCUGCAGGCUCUGAACUGUCUGCACAGAGUCCCACUCCGGGCUGGAACCCAGGGAACAGCGGGGUCAUGACCUGAGCGGCAGUGGAUUGCUCAACGACUGAGUCCCCCAGGAAUGUUCAACCGGCAGUGUAUACAAAGAGCUCAGAAUUGAGGAAGGCGGCACGUUAUCUAGGUCAGGUAGUGUGCUCAUUUUCUGAAGAGACAACUUUGACUCAAUAGAAUUUAAGCUGAACAUAUGGGACCUGGAGGCUGGACCGGUUUUCUGUGAUCACAGACCACUUAAAAAAAUAGCCCUGGUGUAAGUCCACAGCAGCCCCAAUGCCGUGUACUCCCAUGUUCCUCAUGGUGACCUGUACUGAAAAAUCCCAGAAGGACCAACUUCUAGGACGGUUUCUUCACAUCUCUGUACCCUUGGUGCUUAUCACAAGGCCUCAUAAUAAGGGCUUUCAAAGAUUUGAAUUAAACUUUAAGAGGAAACCAAAGUCACACUGCUGGCAAGGAAAGGAACAGGAUUCCAAUCUAUCAGCCCUAGGUAAACCUAGAACCCACAGGCUGGGAGACACGUGCACUGAAAUAAGGGGGUCGGUGAGAGGAAGACUCAACGGAAGGCAGGCAGGGUGAGGAGAAAAGCUUUUUAGCUCCUCUGAAAUAAAAUAUUAAUCCAA